AGCAGCCGCGGUAAUUCCAGCUCCAAUAGCGUAUAUUAAAGUUGUUGCAGUUAAAAAGCUCGUAGUUGAAUUUCGGGGUUAGUAGGUUGGUCAUGCCUCUGGUAUGUACUGGUCUCACUGAUUCCUCCUUCCUGAUGAACCUUAAUGCCAUUAAUUUGGUGUUUUGGGGAAUUUGGACUAUUACUUUGAAAAAAUUAGAGUGUUUAAAGCAAGCUAACGCUUGAAUACAUUAGCAUGGAAUAAUGAAAUAGGACGUUCGAUCCUAUUUUGUUGGUUUCUAGGAUUGACGUAAUGAUUAAUAGGGAUAGUUGGGGGCAUUAGUAUUCAAUUGUCAGAGGUGAAAUUCUUGGAUUUAUUGAAGACUAACUACUGCGAAAGCAUUUGCCAAGGAUGUUUUCAUUAAUCAAGAACGAAAGUUAGGGGAUCGAAGACGAUCAGAUACCGUCGUAGUCUUAACCAUAAACUAUGCCGACUAGGGGUCGGAUGAUGUUAAUUUUUUAAUGACUCA
rnacentral:rRNA from 1 species